rnacentral:rRNA from 1 species
AUAGUGCCUAUCCUACACGGAUAACAGUGGUAAUUCUAGAGCUAAUACGUGCCAAAUGCCCCGACUUCGGAAGGGGCGUGCUUGUCAGAAUCAGAACCAAUGCCCUUGUGGCUCACUGGUGGCUCAUGACAAUCCCACAGAUCGCAUGGCCUUGUGCCGGCGAUGGCUCAUUCAAAUUUCUUCCCUAUCAACUUUCGACGGUACGGUCUUGGCCUACCGUGGUUACAACGGGUAACGGAGGGUUAGGGCUCGACCCCGGAGAGGGAGCCUGAGAGACGGCUACCACAUCCAAGGAAGGCAGCAGCCGCGCAAAUUAUCCAAUCCCGACACGGGGAGAUAGUGACAAUAAAUACCGAUACAGGGCUCUUUUGGGCCCCGUAAUUGGAAUGAGUACAAUUUAAACCUCUUAACGAGGAACAAUUGGAGGGCAAGUCUGGUGCCAGCAGCCGCGGUAAUUCCAGCUCCAAUAGCGUAUAUUAAAGUUGUUGUGGUUAAAAAGCUCGUAGUCGAACCUCGGGCUCGGCCGGCCGGUCCGCCUCACCGCGUGCACUGGCCCGGCCGGGCUCUUCCCUCUGAGGAGCCGCAUGCCCUUCACUGGGCGUGCCGGGGAAUCAGGACUUUUACUUUGAAAAAAUUAGAGUGCUCAAGGCAGGCCAAUGCUCGGAUACAUUAGCAUGGAAUAAUAGAAUAGGACGUUGGUUCUAUUUUGUUGGUUUCUAGGACCGCCGUAAUGAUCAAUAGGGACGGUCGGGGGCAUCAGUAUUCAGCCGCGAGAGGUGAAAUUCUUAGACCGGCUGAAGACUAACUACUGCGAAAGCAUUUGCCAAGGACGUUUUCGCUGAUCAGGAACGAAAGUUAGGGGAUCGAAGACGAUCAGAUACCGUCGUAGUCUUAACCAUAAACGGUGCCGACUUGGGAUCGGGCGCUGCUGAUUUUACGGCGCGCUCGGCACC